rnacentral:lncRNA from 1 species
GGAUUCUAUCAAUGACCCCAUCAUCUGGAAGUUCAACUCCAGCUGAGUCAAGCGGUUGUGCAACCCAAACAUUCUGAGUAUGUGCUCACUCACAGAACUAUUAUCCUCCAUCUUACAGCUAAAGAACUUGUCGGAGACUUCAUAUCUCUCGACCCGGGCAUGAGCUUGAAAAAAAAAGUUUCAGCUCCUCAAACAUCUCAUAUGCUCCAUGUUGCUCAAAUCGCCUUUGGAACCCCGGUUCUAAACUGUAAAGCAUGCUGCAGUGAACCAAAGAGUAGUCAUCACUCCGCGAC